CGACUACUCCCUCUGUCCCAAAUUUCUUGUCUUAGAUUUGUCUAGAUAUGGAUGUAUCUAAUACUAAAAUGUGACUUGAUACAUCCGUAUCUAGACAAAUCUAAGACAAGAAUUUUGGGACGGAGGGAGUACUUU
rnacentral:pre_miRNA from 1 species